rnacentral:rRNA from 1 species
UACGGGCAGUCCAAGUGAUGCUCACGAAUACUGGGCUUAAAGCGUCCGUAGCCGGCCCGGCAAGUUUCUAGUGAAAUCCCAUCGCUUAACGGUGGGAAGUGCUGGAAAUACUACCGGACUUGGAGGCGGGAGAGGGCAGAGGUACGUUAGGGGUAGCGGUAAAAUGUUGUAAUCCUUAACGGACCAUCGGUAGCGAAGGCGUCUGCCUAGAACGCGCUCGACGGUGAGGGACGAAGGCCAGGGGAGCAACCCGGAUUAGAUACCCCCGUA